AAUUGAUUGAAAUAUUUGACUAAAUAUUGAAUGUGAAUCCGCCAUUAUGUAUAUUCUUCAAAUUGUUUUCAAAUUUAUAGGAUAUCAUACAUUAUGCAUCAUAAAAGUUAUUGGGCUUGAAACUGAUUUUCUCUAUUUGGCUUGAACACGUACAAGAAGUUAAUGGGAAGGUUUAUGGUUUUCUUUUGACAAGAAAACAAUUGUAGACCUUUUUUAUAUAAUGCCUGUAAGUUCAUAGGAAAUAAUAUUACGUGAGAGAAAUGCAGGCAUAUGUUAGGGUUAAGGAAACCCUAAUAGGGAAGAAUAGGGUAUAGAGAAGAAUGUAGAUAGAGAG
rnacentral:misc_RNA from 1 species